UAUUUUUAUAGUAUAAAAAUUACAUUCGACUUCCAAUCGAAAAAUCUAUUAAUAGUAAAAAUAU
rnacentral:tRNA from 1 species